rnacentral:rRNA from 1 species
UACGGAGGGUGCGACCGUUAAUCGGAAUCACUGGGCGUAAAGCGCGCGUAGGCGGUCUGUUAAGUGGGAUGUGAAAUCCCCGGGCUUAACCUGGGAAUUGCAUUUCAAACUGGCCGACUAGAGUACGGUAGAGGGAGGUAGAAUUUCCUGUGUAGCGGUGAAAUGCGUAGAUAUCGGGAGGAACAUCAGUGGCGAAGGCGGCCUUCUGGUCCAGUACUGACACUCAAGUGCGAAAGCGUGGGGAGCAAACAGG